GACGAACGCUGGCGGCGUGCUUAACACAUGCAAGUCGAACGGAAAGGCCCUGCUUUUGUGGGGUGCUCGAGUGGCGAACGGGUGAGUAACACGUGAGUAACCUGCCCUUGACUUUGGGAUAACUUCAGGAAACUGGGGCUAAUACCGGAUAGGAGCUCCUGCUGCAUGGUGGGGGUUGGAAAGUUUCGGCGGUUGGGGAUGGACUCGCGGCUUAUCAGCUUGUUGGUGGGGUAGUGGCUUACCAAGGCUUUGACGGGUAGCCGGCCUGAGAGGGUGACCGGCCAGGUUGGAAUGGGGAUGCGACACGGACCCGAACGGGAGGGGGGGGGGGGGAGUAUUACAGAGGGGGGGGGGGCAAAGUGCGGCAACGCCGCGGGGGGGAUAGGGGCCUGGGGUUUGAAACCGACUUUCCCCUGUGACGAGGCGUUAGUGACGGUAAUGGGAAAAGAAGCCCCGGCUAACUACGUG
rnacentral:rRNA from 1 species